CUGGGCUUGGCUUCCAUUCACAGAGCUGGGGGCUUCUGGGGCCGGAUAUGCAGAGCAUUUCUCUGACGGGGCACCCCUUGAAUCGCUGGAGAUGUCCCUGGCGUAGGUAUUGUAACGGACCGUUUUGCACAAAAGGGGAAAAAACCGUUUAGACGAUAAUCCCCCUUUCAGAGACAGGCACAGCUAUGGUAUAAUCACCAAAACUCACGAACCGCCAAUAAGUGAAUGCUCCAAACUCCCGAACGGCAUCCAAGGGAAUAAGGUAGCACUUCAAAUAAACGAACAGGAACCAUACGAAUAGCUGCUAGCAGGCGAACAGGAAAAGCUUCCAAGCGGCUUACACUCCUGGCAAUCAGUCCUUAGCAGCAUACAGUAAAUCCCCCCAAAGACGAGACAAGGCUCCGUGUUGAGGGUCAAGCAGUGGUCUGUUUAAUGAGGGCUACCUGCCCAGCUUUUAUGCAGGUCUCCCACCUGGUGGACACUCCCCUAGGGGACCAAAUGGGAGACUGUGACAAGGGACAGACAAGUAUACAAAAAGGACACACAGUCACAGUAUAUUCCCACAAUGCAUCCUGGCUUCCUCCCCUCUGCCCUGGGAGAUAAUUGGGAAGUAACUCAAUUAUCUCCCAAGACAAAGGCAAAACUCCAUUACACACGUGGGAACACAAAACCAGCAUAAUACUUUAAAAUGCACAAAGUAACAUUUACUACAUUAAGCACAGACAUGUAACAUAUCCCCAGAUAGCUCAGGUCUGAGUGCACAUUAUUAGGUGAAUGGCACUCAGACCACACAAAUACAGUUUAAUCGCCAUGGAGCCAAAGUCUUUACAGUCAGUUUCAUACGAAUGAGCUCCAUGGGAUUCCUAUCUGGGGUAUAAGACAUUCACACAAAAAUACCGAACACCGGGUCAUUCGUGUGCUUUCACCGAACAAGAAGGGAGGUCGGCGGCUUCAGCGGUGUUCGCGCAAAACUGUGUCCGAUUUUAGUUCCAUGAAAAUAGAGGCGAACACCGCUGUUCAUUCGUAUGGUUUAAAAUGGCCGCGACCUCGUGUUCGGGAUACGAACGGCGGCCACCCAGCGUUCAUCAAUUAAGCUGCGGUUAACCGCAGCUUCAGGGAGGUUAAUUGCCGGCACACUCCAGCUCCCAGGUGGUCCAGUCAUUCGUACGGUUGUUCGGUAGAUUGAAACUACCGAACAACCGGCAGAAAAGCACGAAUACAGCUUUUCUGCAUGGAAAAAUAAAGUCUUUUAAAAGGGGGCCAUAGUCCAAAGGCAGCAGGCGAGCAACCAGGAUUCUCCAAUGCAAUGUGGCGAGAUUGGUCUCGUCACAGGUAUAAUAAUGGCCACUGUCAGAUGUUUUUCCUGAAUGGACUACAAUGGAAUUUAAGACAUACGGCACUCGUCGUUGGUUUCGAAGCGGGUUUAUCUUUUCAGGUGGUCUUAGCUCAUUUGCUCUGUUCCCAUCAGCACCAGAAAUAACAGUGGCCAGAGGGGUGGGCCUUUCCACAGGCAAAAACAUCAGCGGUGGAAUGAACACGGGAUCCAAUACCUUCCGGCUCACCUGGUGAUCUGGAUCGUAAGAAAACCUCGGUAAGUUCAGAAUGAGGUAGUCCGGCUCCUCUCUGAUUUGUGUGACCUUCUCUGCUUUCAUGCCCCACACUUAUAGCUGUUAUCUCCAUCGAGAAUCUCCGGAUCCAGGAAAUUGCGGAGCAGGUACGUGACAGAAAGUUUCUUGUAGGCUUUUUCUUUGAGGGCUUUACAGGAGGAGACAUUGUCACCUAAAAGGCUGGUGUUUGUCUCAAGUGGGGCAGGUUUAUCCUUGGAUGUUGUAGGAGAACCCAGCGCAAGGUCUAUAAAAGUCUCAGUCUUGUGUGAAACGCUCCUGCAGGCCUGGCAGCAGAUGUUAAUUUGCAGCUUUCCCUGAAACAGGUUUUCUAUCAAAGUUUUCCCAUUGUUCCCCCAGAUUGCGCUCUGUGAAUGGCAGUUAUCGUCGGGGGCCCUGGGAAGCUAAAGGCUCCUGAGGGACAUCAUCAGUCACCAUAGAGUCAG
rnacentral:lncRNA from 1 species